GAGGUGGGAGGAUAGCUUGAGCCUGGGAGGUUGAGGCUGCAGUGAGCCAUGAGCAUGCCACUGCACUCCAGCCUGAGUGACAGAGAGAGACCCUGUCUC
rnacentral:miRNA from 1 species